rnacentral:lncRNA from 1 species
UUGCAUUCCUAUCUCUUGGGAAGUUGUACUUAUCAGCACCACCAAGUACCAUGCGGUCAGCAAGAGAGCUGGGCUGAGUGUGUCAUUGGAGAAUUAAAAAGGAAUUAAAAGUCAAGACGGGGUUCUGGGGAGAAUGCAAAGAAGAGUUCCAUCACCACAGCAGAUGCCCCUGGAGGAGGGCUGAGCCUCCGUCAAUGCUACACCAAUAAAGGCACCUUUAGGAAAAUGGCUGGAAGCAAUUCAUCCGCGUUAUCUUCCCAGCACCCAGCGUGAUGCAAAGCACAUAGUAAAUGUUGAAUAAAUGCUUGCUGUGUGAAUC